CAGUCGCCACGGGAAUACGGAGGGGGCUAGCGUUGUUCGGAAUUACUGGGCGUAAAGCGCACGUAGGCGGCUUUGUAAGUCAGAGGUGAAAGCCCGGGGCUCAACCCCGGAAUUGCCUUUGAGACUGCAUCGCUUGAAUCCAGGAGAGGUGAGUGGAAUUCCGAGUGUAGAGGUGAAAUUCGUAGAUAUUCGGAAGAACACCAGUGGCGAAGGCGGCUCACUGGACUGGUAUUGACGCUGAGGUGCGAAAGCGUGGGGAGCAAACAGGAUUAGAUACCCCGGUAGUCCCUGUCUCUUAUAC
rnacentral:rRNA from 1 species